AGGAUAAGUGACAAUAAUCUCAGUGGGUCCAUACCUAAUUUCAUAGAGAAUUGGAGACAACUCAAUAAACUAGAACUAAUUGGGACGGGGCUUUCGGGACCGAUUCCUUCAUCCAUUUCCUUUCUGAACUUAACUGACGUGAGAAUUUGUGAACUAAGUGGACCAACUCAGAGAUUCCGUCCGUUAGAUAAUGUUGUUGGUUUACUAACACUGUAUUUAGAAGGUUUUGUAUUUCAAAUUGUCGUUGUAAUAUAAUAUAUUGGUUUGUGU